GAUGAACGCUGGCGGUAUGCUUAACACAUGCAAGUCGAACGGACUCUUCGGAGUUAGUGGCGGACGGGUGAGUAACGCGUGAGAAUCUGGCUUUGGGUUCGGGACAACCACUGGAAACGGUGGCUAAUACCGGAUGUGCCGAGAGGUAAAAGAGAAAUUGCCUGAAGAUGAGCUCGCGUCUGAUUAGCUAGUUGGUGAGGUAAAGGCUCACCAAGGCAGCGAUCAGUAGCUGGUCUGAGAGGAUGACCAGCCACACUGGGACUGAGACACGGCCCAGACUCCUACGGGAGGCAGCAGUGGGGAAUUUUCCGCAAUGGGCGAAAGCCUGACGGAGCAAUACCGCGUGAGGGAAGAAGGCACUUGGGUUGUAAACCUCUUUUCUUAGGGAAGAACAAAAUGACGGUACCUAAGGAAUCAGCAUCGGCUAACUCCGUG
rnacentral:rRNA from 1 species